UUUUUAAGGCCGCUUUGCACGCCCGGGGUGAACCCACAGCUGCGUGCAGGCGAUGGGGGUGGACGGGGGGGGGUUGUAGGGGCAGGGGGUGGGUUUGGGGCUGUGGCUUUGCCCUGCAGCUUCCAUCUCUUUGGCAUUCAUGGGAGGAGUGGUGCCGGUACACCUAGGAAGGAGGAAAAAGGAAGAGCCCGCAGGGAGCCGGCAGAUGUGGGGCAGAAUUGGGAUCGCGCCCCGCAAAGCACCAGUAAAGGUGCAGAGUGCGGCUCUUUGGGGUCAUGGGGAAAGGAUGUCAGAGCCUUGAUCUGUGCCCAGCUUGAGGACAAGGGACACCCGUACCUUGCCGCCGUCCCACAUCCCUGUUGCUUUAGGGGCGCAGCACUCCGGCAUCAGAAGUCGCAGGGGGAGCAAGAAGCGAAGGGAUUGAGGCAAAGCCUUGGCAAGCCCCCUCACCCCAAAUCCGCUCCCCAAAAGUGGCUGUGUGCUGGUGGGUGCUGCGGGAAGGGCAGCUGGGGGGGAUCCCUGCUCCGCGCGGUGCUCCUGGACGUCAGGCACAAAGGGUCCGGCUCACCCCGCGUAAGGGUUUGCCCGCUCAGUCUGUCUUGUGACUAAUUAAACAAACACGAGCGGGGUUCCCUGCCAACAAACCGCAGCCAUCUGUCUCAUCCUACAGCUCCAUCCUAAUAAAUGGGCCAUCGCGGGGCCCUUUCCCCUCCCGCGGCCCCGGCGUGCAGGCAGGAGUCGCGGAGCCACGAGGCUGAGCCGUCUGCGGGGUCGGGGCACGCGUCCUGCAUGGGGGCAAGGCUCCCCAAGCCCCCGGUGUUUCAGCAGCACCGGGAUCCCCGCGCCCCAGGAGCUGGCGAACGCUGGCACGUUGCUAAUUUAAGGCCGCCGAGCUUGCUCCGCCUGUGCCGCCCCCCCGGGGUUUUGCGUUUUGCGGUAACAGCAGUGAUCGGAAGAAUAUUUGGGGCUGAGACAUCCAACGCGGUCCUCUGCGGGGCUGACGGCACCACCGAAAACCCAAAGCGUCCCGAGGAAGCAGCCGCUGCAGGAGCACGGCGCCGUUCCCCCACGCUGCGAUGUUUGGAGGUUUCUAUGUAUGGGAGCUGGCCACCGAGCUGUCAGUGGUUGCCUCACCUUGUUAUGUGACGUGGAGCUGUGCGAGCCGUUCAGGUG
rnacentral:lncRNA from 1 species